CCGUACUAUUAUGGUCCGACGCGCGAGAAAGACCGGACAGGUUCAGAUUAUUAUUGUUACAAACCGCCAGCUUAAUUUAACUCAAUUGGUAAAAGAGUUGGUUAAAGAUUUCCCAGAAGUUGUGACAGUAGCUGUUAAUACAAAUACAGCUAAAACCAGUGAGAUAUAUGGUGAAAAGACAGAGAUUAUCUGGGGGCAAGAGAGUAUUCAAGAAGGUGUACUCAAUUAUGAAUUUUCACUAUCCCCUCGAGCUUUUUAUCAACUAAAUCCUGAGCAAACAGAAGUCCUCUAUAGCGAAGCAGUAAAAGCGCUGGAUGUUGAUAAAGAAGACCAUUUGAUUGACGCUUAUUGUGGAGUUGGAACGAUUGGAUUUGCCUUUGCAAAGAAAGUAAAAACACUCAGAGGUAUGGAUAUUAUUCCAGAAGCUAUUGAAGAUGCCAAGCGAAAUGCUAAAAGAAUGGGAUUUGACAAUACUCAUUAUGAAGCUGGAACGGCAGAAGAGAUUAUUCCUCGUUGGUACAAGGAAGGCUACCGAGCAGAUGCUUUGAUUGUUGACCCACCACGUACAGGUCUGGAUGAUAAGUUAUUAGAUACUAUUCUUACUUAUGUACCAGAAAAAAUGGUUUAUAUUUCUUGUAAUGUUUCGACCUUGGCUCGUGAUUUGGUACGCUUAGUAGAAGUCUAUGAUCUUCAUUAUAUCCAGUCGGUCGAUAUGUUCCCACAUACAGCUCGAACUGAAGCUGUUGUAAAAUUAAUAAAAAAAGUUUAAAAAAGUAGUUGACAAAGUUUGAAAAGACUGUAUAAUAGUAAGAGUUGAAAAUAACAACUCAGGUCCGUUGGUCAAGGGGUUAAGACACCGCCUUUUCACGGCGGUAACACGGGUUCGAAUCCCGUACGGACUAUGGUAUGUUGCGGUUGGAACACUUGAUGAAAAAAAGUUUAAAAAAACUUAAAAAUCUUCAAAAAAGUGUUGACAAGUGAAAGUGGCUGUGAUAUACUAAUAUAGUUGUCGCUUGAGAGAAGCAAGUGACAAAGACCUUUGAAAACUGAACAAGACGAACCAAUGUGCAGGGCGCUACAACAUAAGUUGUAGUACUGAACAAUGAAAAAAACAAUAAAUCUGUCAGUGACAGAAAUGAGUGAGAACUCAAACUUUUAAUGAGAGUUUGAUCCUGGCUCAGGACGAACGCUGGCGGCGUGCCUAAUACAUGCAAGUAGAACGCUGAAGGAGGAGCUUGCUUCUCUGGAUGAGUUGCGAACGGGUGAGAAUCCUGUCCACCGUAAGACUAAGGUUUCCAGGGGAAGGCUCGUCCGCCCUGGGUUAGUCGGGACCUAAGGAGAGACCGAAAGGUGUAUCCGAUGGACAACAGGUUGAUAUUCCUGUACUAGAGUAUGUAGUGAUGGAGGGACGCAGUAGGCUAACUAAAGCAGACGAUUGGAAGAGUCUGUCUAAGCAGUGAGGUGUGAAUUGAGUCAAAUGCUUAAUUCUAUAACAUUGAGCUGUGAUGGGGAGCGAAGUUUAGUAGCGAAGUUAGUGACGUCACACUGCCAAGAAAAGCUUCUAGCGUUUAAACAUACUCUACCCGUACCGCAAACCGACACAGGUAGUCGAGGCGAGUAGCCUCAGGUGAGCGAGAGAACUCUCGUUAAGGAACUCGGCAAAAUGACCCCGUAACUUCGGGAGAAGGGGUGCUGACUUAAAGUCAGCCGCAGUGAAUAGGCCCAAGCAACUGUUUAUCAAAAACACAGCUCUCUGCUAAAUCGUAAGAUGAUGUAUAGGGGGUGACGCCUGCCCGGUGCUGGAAGGUUAAGAGGAGUGCUUAGCGUAAGCGAAGGUAUGAAUUGAAGCCCCAGUAAACGGCGGCCGUAACUAUAACGGUCCUAAGGUAGCGAAAUUCCUUGUCGGGUAAGUUCCGACCCGCACGAAAGGCGUAAUGAUUUGGGCACUGUCUCAACGAGAGACUCGGUGAAAUUUUAGUACCUGUGAAGAUGCAGGUUACCCGCGACAGGACGGAAAGACCCCAUGGAGCUUUACUGCAGUUUGUAUAUUGAGUGUCUGUACCACAUGUACAGGAUAGGUAGGAGUCUAAGAGAUCGGGACGCCAGUUUCGAAGGAGACGCUGUUGGGAUACUACCCUUGUGUUAUGGCCACUCUAACCCAGAUAGGUGAUCCCUAUCGGAGACAGUGUCUGACGGGCAGUUUGACUGGGGCGGUCGCCUCCUAAAAGGUAACGGAGGCGCCCAAAGGUUCCCUCAGAAUGGUUGGAAAUCAUUCGCAGAGUGUAAAGGUAUAAGGGAGCUUGACUGCGAGAGCUACAACUCGAGCAGGGACGAAAGUCGGGCUUAGUGAUCCGGUGGUUCCGUAUGGAAGGGCCAUCGCUCAACGGAUAAAAGCUACCCUGGGGAUAACAGGCUUAUCUCCCCCAAGAGUUCACAUCGACGGGGAGGUUUGGCACCUCGAUGUCGGCUCGUCGCAUCCUGGGGCUGUAGUCGGUCCCAAGGGUUGGGCUGUUCGCCCAUUAAAGCGGCACGCGAGCUGGGUUCAGAACGUCGUGAGACAGUUCGGUCCCUAUCCGUCGCGGGCGUAGGAAAUUUGAGAGGAUCUGCUCCUAGUACGAGAGGACCAGAGUGGACUUACCGCUGGUGUACCAGUUGUCUUGCCAAAGGCAUCGCUGGGUAGCUAUGUAGGGAAGGGAUAAACGCUGAAAGCAUCUAAGUGUGAAACCCACCUCAAGAUGAGAUUUCCCAUGAUUAU
rnacentral:rRNA from 1 species